CCAUGCAAUCAUGAUUAAUUUUACCACGUAUUCCAUUUAAAAUAAUUAUUUUGCCUGCCAGAUACCCAUCACUUUCCAUUAGACCUCCUUCCAUCGUGGAGUCAAUAACACCCAUACACACAUUCACCGCACGCAAUCCUAUAGGAUGCAGCACCAAUUUAUGUGUAAACUUAAUGAAGAGGCAUAUUAACCUCGGGCCCAACCUUAUGAUACUCCAAGUAGAGAAACCCCUCUUACGACCAUUUAAAUUAAAACGUGCAAUACUUGUGGUAGCCAUAAAUAGAUACCAUAUAAAACCUCUUUUCCUAUAGAAACAUCUCGCAAGCCACCAUAUAACCAUAUA
rnacentral:lncRNA from 1 species